UACGGGGGGAGCAAGCGUUGUUCGGAUUUACUGGGCGUAAAGGGCGCGUAGGCGGUCGUGACAAGUCACUUGUGAAAUCUCCGGGCUUAACUCGGAACGGUCAAGUGAUACUGUCGGACUAGAGUACAGAAGGGGCAACUGGAAUUCUCGGUGUAGCGGUGAAAUGCGUAGAUAUCGAGAGGAACGCCGGUGGCGAAGGCGGCCUUCUGGACAGUGACUGACGCUGAGACGCGAAAGCGUGGGGAGCAAACAGG
rnacentral:rRNA from 1 species